GACGAACGCUGGCGGCGUGCUUAACACAUGCAAGUCGAACGGUGAAGCGCCUUCCUUUUUGGUGGGUGUGGAUGAGUGGCGAACGGGUGAGUAACACGUGAGUAACCUGCCCCCUUCUUCUGGAUAACCGCAUGAAAGUGUGGCUAAUACGGGAUAUUCUGGGUCUGUCGCAUGAUGGGUCUGGGAAAGAUAUUGUUUCGGUGGGGGAUGGGCUCGCGGCCUAUCAGCUUGUUGGUGGGGUGAUGGCCUACCAAGGCGGUGACGGGUAGCCGGCCUGAGAGGGUGGACGGUCACACUGGGACUGAGACACGGCCCAGACUCCUACGGGAGGCAGCAGUGGGGAAUAUUGCACAAAGGGCGCAAGCCUGAUGCAGCGACGCCGCGUGAGGGAUGGAGGCCUUCGGGUUGUGAACCUCUUUCGCCAGUGAAGCAGGCCUGCCUCGUUUGUGGGUGGGUUGACGGUAGCUGGAUAAGAAGCGCCGGCUAACUACGUG
rnacentral:rRNA from 1 species